GUGCACAACACUAAUGCGUCCCUUCCCUCUUCUCUCCAAACACUCAUCUUGUUUUUGUUAGAUUCAAUAGAAGACAAAUGACCGACCCCCAUUCUUGGAUCCUCGACUGUGAUUUCCUUUGAUUAAUUAAGGUGCCAUUCAAGUGUCAUUAAGAACAGAAGGAUGCUAAAAUUUGUGGAGUAGUGGAGUCAUUCUUUUCAUGCCUUUGAGAAUAUAAUUCAGUUGCAUGACGAGUUAAAUGUGGAGUGGUGUCACCCUUGUGCUUUUGAGAAUUUGAGAACAAUUCAGUUACAUGAUGAACUAGAAUUAGACUUUUGUAGUACACCAAAAAAAUAAAAGAAUUAUUUUUGUAAAAUCCAGUAAUUUUUUUACCAUACUGACUUAAAGGUCUCUAUAUGAUUAUCAUUGUUUACCUGCACAACACGGAUUAGGGGAUCCACUGAAUAAUUAAACUCACUAUAAUAAGGCUCACUUCAGAGGAUUCUAAUCUGCGCAACAUUAUCUUCAACAUUCCUGAUCUUUAGUUCUCUGCAUUACUAGAGGUUUUGUUUUGUCUUACCUAUGCCACACAACUCAGAGUACUAAUAUUCACCAUUGUAUAUCACAUCUAGUGUAGACACAAAGGUUCCACCAUGGGAAACAUUCCCAGUGGCAAUUACUCUGAGCGGUUUCCUCUUGAUGAUUCCUCCGUGGCUGUCCUACUCAAAACAAAUAGCCUCAAAGGGUCUGAUGAAGAAGUUAUGGAAACUUUGGAGUGCAGAGUACUUCUCAUUUGGAAGGACAACCAGCGAACUAGAAUUGACCAAAACCAACUACAGCAGCAAGCACGAACAAGAGUGGGUCCAUCACAAUCCUUGAUCACGCAUCAAGCCAUGAAAAAAAGAACCUUCAUUUUCAGAUGAACAUGAGAGUCGAAGAUCAAGGUCUUCUUUUAGCAAACAUUAGUCUAGAUGGACCAAAGUGAAUGCAGCAACUUCCAGAGAAGAGAAGCCCUAUUGAGCAAGGCGGGGUUCUCAAGUCCUACUCCUUCUUUUAUGGACGUGACAGUGGCCGAAAGAAUCUUAUAGUCACCUUGAGGACAAAGAGAAGUGAUGAUGAUGAAAUGCUUCCUUACAUGAUCACUGUCAAGCACUAUUUUGUGCCUGCAUCUUGUUCUCAUGGUGUUUUCUCUCUUGUAACAAAGAUUCGCAGUGAUAGCGGUGACAAGGGUGAUGGAGGUGCCCAAACGUUCCAUCCUGACCAUGUUUGAUGAUGCCAAAGGAAAAGGGUGGGGACCUAAUCUUAGUAUUUCUGAUUGUACAAUUGAAUUUUCUAAUUCUAACCAAAACAAUAGUGCUGUGAUUAGCAGUAGUGGGAGCAAUAACAAUCCUUCAAAAACCAAUCCUAUGUAUGCUUGCUUUUUAUGUAUAUGUAACUUCACAAGAGAUGAAUGAGAAAAAUGUGAUUCGAAUCAAAGAUUCCACUGAA